GGCGAGAUGGCCGAGCGGUCUAAGGCGCCAGACUAAGGACCAGGACGAUUUACGUCCUCAAACUUCUGAUUCCCAGCAUAAUCUGGUCCGAAAGGGCGUGGGUUCGAAUCCCACUCUCGUCA